rnacentral:rRNA from 1 species
UGGGGAAUACUGCACAAUGGGCGAAAGCCUGAUGCAGCAACGCCGCGUGAGUGAUGAAGGCCUUCGGGUUGUAAAGCUCUGUCUUUUGGGACGAUAAUGACGGUACCAAAGGAGGAAGCCACGGCUAACUACGUGCCAGCAGCCGCGGUAAUACGUAGGUGGCAAGCGUUGUCCGGAUUUUACUGGGCGUAAAGGAUGCGUAGGCGGAUUUUUAAGUAAGAUGUGAAAUACCCGGGCUUAACUUGGGUGCUGCAUUUCAAACUGGGAAUCUAGAGUGCGGGAGAGGAGAAUGGAAUUCCUAGUGUAGCGGUGAAAUGCGUAGAGAUUAGGAAGAACACCAGUGGCGAAAGGCGAUUCUCUGGACCGUAACUGACGCUGAGGCAUGAAAGCGUGGGUAGCAAACAGGAUUAGAUACCCUGGUAGUCCACGCCGUAAACGAUGAGUACUAGGUGUAGGAGGUAUCGACCCCUUCUGUGCCGCAGUUAACACAAUAAGUACUCCGCCUGGGAAGUACGAUCGCAAGAUUAAAACUUAAAGAAAUUGACGGGGUCAU